UGUCAGCAGCCGCGGUAAUACCGGCAGCCCGAGUGAUGGCCGAUUUUAUUGGGCCUAAAGCGUCCGUAGCUGGCUGCGCAAGUCCAUCGGAAAAUCCACCCGCUCAACGGGUGGGCGUCCGGUGGAAACUGCGUGGCUUGGGACCGGAAGGCGCGACGGGUACGUCCGGGGUAGGAGUGAAAUCCCGUAAUCCUGGACGGACCGCCGAUGGCGAAAGCACGUCGCGAGGACGGAUCCGACAGUGAGGGACGAAAGCCAGGGUCUCGAACCGGAUUAGAUACCCCGGUAGUCC
rnacentral:rRNA from 1 species